CUCUUGGGGCUCAGGAUGCCGGGGCGGACCAAGCGGCGGGCCCGGCAGCGCUGGGGGGCCGGGCGGGGCCUGCCUGGCCCAUGAGGAUCUGCACCAGCAGGUCGGUGGCCAGCACGUGCGACGGCUCCUCGAAGCCGAUGAGGAACUCACUAAUCCACACGGGAGUCCGGGCCGUGGCUGCUGGCCUCUGUGGUGGCCUCCAGGUUCCAGCGCAUCUUCUUAUAGAGGUACCUCGGGAAGUGGCUGGCAGUGUAUGCAGCGGGGGUGCAGUACCGGAAGAUGGACACAUCGUGGGAAGGGCUAAUGGAGAACCUCCCGCAGAAGAAGCAGGAGAUGCUAGCAGGCGACGGGAGAGUGGGCAGUAAGCUGGGCCCUGGGCUCCACCACCCCACAGCCUCAUUUGCUGACCCCUUACCUCAGAGGGUUAGUUUCUUCCAGGUCCACAAACCCAAAGGAGGCGUACAUGAGGACUAACUGUUCCAAGCGCAGAGUUAGCUGCUGGGAGAUCUCCAACAACUGCAUGGAAGGUGGGAGUUCAUGACCUUAGGUGGUCGGCCAGAAGCAGCCCUCCUGCGCCUAGGCGGCUCCGAAGGGGAAGGCUCUGGUAGGACAGCCACUGUACACACCCCCUUCCGGACCAGCUCCUGCAGGGCUCCGUAGAUGGGAGGGACACUCCUUGCGGCAGCCUCAAGGUACAGGAAGUAAGGCUCACACAUUUUUAAGAAGGUGGGCAUGGCCUUCGCCAACUGUUCCUUCUGCACCCUGUCCCUGCUGAAGGGAGGAAGCGGCCUUCAUGUGGUAGCCCUCUCCCUCCAUCCCCAGGUGCUCCAUGCUCACCCUCCACCUGUAUCCCUGGCUGAACCCAUUACAAAAUUCCCUCGGUGUUGUGGCUUAGUGGUAAGAACACUUACAUAGCCUGUGCGGAGUCCUGGAUUCCAUGCCAGCACCCAAAACUUACACAUAAAAAGAGGGACUGGGAAGCUAAGUUCGUGGUAGAGAUUCAGGUUUGGCAUGGGUAAAGCUUUAGCUUCAGCAUAAGGAAAAGACCCCUCCCCCCCAUGUCAGGUCUUUCUCCCACCAUCUUUCAGAACCACCUGCAUCAGAGCCAUUUGGAACAUUUGUUAAAGUCCUGGCACCUGGCCUGGAACGCAGCUCCGUGGCAGAAAGCCUGCUUAGCACAAGGGCCUGGCCCCAUCCCCUGUGUUUGGGGGUAUAUACAACUGAGCUCUUUCCAAGCUCUGCAUGGAAAGCUGGGAUUUAAGCAAGCCUCCUGUAAGCAGCACAGUGCCUUCCCCCUGGUCUGGAAAUUGCAUUUUUCUCUGGGUGUGGAGGGUAGCCUCUCAUACCGGAAGUUCUCUGGCUAGCGUUGAUGCAGAUGGAUUUUGUUUAGCUCACUUACACAGUUUUUAAACAUCUUUGCUAGCAUUUCAUAUUUACUAAGCAGUACUCAGUAGACCGAGGCAGAAAGGUCGCCAACUCGAGCAUAAUGAGACUCUGUCUCAAGGGGGGAAAAAUCGGACCAAUCAACCAACCAACCAAAAACCAAAUUCUGGAAGAAAGAUUCUGGGUAUCCUAAUUAAGGCCGAUACACUGCCUUCUUCGGCCUCUCAAUUCUCCACAGCGGACGGUACACUAGGAGAGUGUACUCCUAAUCAGCUAGCCCUGUGUACUAGCUCCAGGCCCUGAGUUCAGUUUUUGGCCCCUGUGGGCUGCACAGCUUGUCCUCCUGUCCUAGGCCCUUGUUCAGGGUCACCUGUAGAGCAAGUAGCUUUGAAAGUCGUCCGCCUUCCUGAGCAGGUAACGGAGCUGGUCAGUGAUGGGGCUGAACAUGGAGUCCAGUGGGAAUCGAGUCGGGGCCGGCCCGAGCUCCGCUGCCAGUGGCUCCCGGGAGGAAGCGGAGCCUGGGGCUUCCAUCAGGGGCUGUGCCCGCUGGGGUUCCAGCUCCGCCGAGGCCUCUGGUCUCCCUGUGGGCGACCACGAGGGGUCCCCAUAGGGCGGCGGCCCGGGUCCCAGUUCGUCUGAAGGCGGUGCUUCUCCAGGGCCCAGGGCCAGCGACCCAGCGAACCACGGCUCCGCAGCCAUCAGCGUCCACCGCAAACUCCUCCUGCGGCGUUCCGGGAGCACAGCACACCUGCGGCCGGCCGGCCGGGACAGUGAUCGCAGCCGCGGCCCACGAGGCCCGGCCUCGACGUCUCCGCCGGCACCGCCCCGCGGGGCUUUUGCCUCUUUUGAAUUUGGGCACGCGGAGGGCCGCGCAGCCUGGGCCUGCACUGCGCACGGAGCUCGCCAGGUGCUGGCGCGCGGAGCAGAGGGCGCUGCGAAGGGCGGAGCCUCAGACCUGCCUUGUAGCUGCGGCAAGCGGUAGGCACCUUUUUCUCUUCUAGGCUGGAGAGGGUUCCUAACGUGUUAGGAAUCCCGGAGUAACAGUUACGGAGAGACACUGGCUCCAUCCCACCUGGUGGCCCCAAGCUCCAACCGAUGGACCUGGGAUCAGCAUGUGGACCUACUGGGACUAGUGAUGUAGCGAUUACUUCCACAAUAAACUCCUCAGACAGGUGA